AGUCGAGCGAAGCGCUUACGACAGAACCUUCGGGGGAAGAUGUAAGGGACUGAGCGGCGGACGGGUGAGUAACGCGUGGGUAACCUGCCUCAUACAGGGGGAUAACAGUUGGAAACGGCUGCUAAUACCGCAUAAGCGCACAGUACCGCAUGGUACGGUGUGAAAAACUCCGGUGGUAUGAGAUGGACCCGCGUCUGAUUAGCUAGUUGGAGGGGUAACGGCCCACCAAGGCAACGAUCAGUAGCCGGCCUGAGAGGGUGAACGGCCACAUUGGGACUGAGACACGGCCCAGACUCCUACGGGAGGCAGCAGUGGGGAAUAUUGCACAAUGGGGGAAACCCUGAUGCAGCGACGCCGCGUGAAGGAAGAAGUAUCUCGGUAUGUAAACUUCUAUCAGCAGGGAAGAAAAUGACGGUACCUGACUAAGAAGCCCCGGCUAACUACGUGCCAGCAGCCGCGGUAAUACGUAGGGGGCAAGCGUUAUCCGGAUUUACUGGGUGUAAAGGGAGCGUAGACGGAAGAGCAAGUCUGAUGUGAAAGGCUGGGGCUUAACCCCAGGACUGCAUUGGAAACUGUUUUUCUUGAGUGCCGGAGAGGUAAGCGGAAUUCCUAGUGUAGCGGUGAAAUGCGUAGAUAUUAGGAGGAACACCAGUGGCGAAGGCGGCUUACUGGACGGUAACUGACGUUG
rnacentral:rRNA from 1 species